rnacentral:snoRNA from 1 species
UGUUGUGAUGAUAACGAGUAAUAGGAAGUGCCGUCAGAAGCGAUAACUGACGAUAUAUAUUCUUGAUCUGAUU